AGACGGAGGGCGCAAGCGUUGUUCGGAAUUACUGGGCGUAAAGGGCAGGUAGGUGGUCUGUUAAGUCUUCUGUGAAAAUCCGGGGCUCAACCCCGCGAAAUGCAGGUGAAACUGGCAGACUGGAGACCGGUAGAGGCUAGCGGAAUUCCUGGUGUAGCGGUGGAAUGCGUAGAUAUCAGGAAGAACACCUGUGGCGAAGGCGGCUAGCUGGGCCGGUUCUGACACUGAACUGCGAAAGCGUGGGGAGCAAACAGGAUUAGAAACCCCAGUAGUCC
rnacentral:rRNA from 1 species